rnacentral:lncRNA from 1 species
CGCGCGGGUGUUAGUUUUUUAUAAAUGAAUAUUUAUUUGUAUAAGUGAUAAUAUAUAUUUUAAAAUUUACCCGUUUAAUUUUUUUUUUAAUAUGACAUUUCUAAACACAAUAGUUUUAUAGUUUGUAUUGAGUAGUUUUAUUUUAUCAUGUAAAUCCUAAAUUAUAUCAUCUAUUUAUUUAGAAUAUGACGUGUAAAGUCACAC